GGCAGGCUGCGUGCGCCUGUCAAGGGGGGGAGAAAAAAAAAAGAGUGAAAAUAUAUAUAUCGUUGGCCAAUGGGAAAGAGGGAUCGGGAGAGACCCAAAAGCUGUGGACCAAUGGGGAGGGAAGGAGAGCCGGGCUUCGGGACGAGGAAUUUUGGCCGUCCGCGGCCCCCGAGCACCGGGCGGGGAGUUAACCCUUCGCGGAGCGCCGCGCUCUGAGUGCGGGGAGGUGGCGGCGGUGGCACUCCCGCUCCGCGCUGCCCGCGGGCUCGGGAACGAAGCCCCCGAAAAUUAAGACAUAAACAACGCGAAGCGCUCGAAAGAGGCCUUCAAAUCUGGGGGUGGCGGACCGGAGAGUGCUGCUCAAACCGUCGUCCACGCCGUGUGCCGUGGGGUCGGCAAUGGGGUUGGCGGUGGGGACUUCACUGUCGUUUCGAAGUGAAACUUACAACGCCGUUGAGCGAACGAACCCUCCAGGCACGGCUCACGGCAGCGGUAGAGAUGGCAUAGGCCGCUCUGCCUGCUCUGCCCCAAACCCUUCGAGCCCGUAGGGUAAAGGAAAUCGGGGCCGAACUCCGAGAGGGAGAGGCAGCUCUAUGAUCGGAGAGCGGGGAUCCGUGCGAUCGAGCGAAACCCCGUUUGGGGAAGAAGUAGAGGGAGUUACACCGUUUCCGAGGAUCGAGGGGAGGCUCGGGAUAAACAAUAAAUAAUUCUAUAGGAUGAGUUUGGUUUAGUGUGGAUGGAGCCGCUUUGGGCGGCGGAUGGCGGGGAGCGGUGUUUGGGGUCGGAGCGCCGUGGGGACGAGGGGUGGGGACGGCUGGCGACGCUGCCGCGGUGCCGCUAUUGGGGGUACGCGGAACAGCUCGGCCACGUCUGCCCGAUCCGAAGCGGGGUCCUCCUGGCUUCGAGUGGGGGAAGGGGGAUUCGGGCAGAAAGGCGAGAAAGGACCGAUAUCCCCGGGAAACGCCGGCGAAGCGGAGUGCCGCUAUGUAGGCCGAGGAGCGGGUUUUGUGCGGCCCCGCCGCCCGCCCCGCACCCCCCGCCGCUCCUUUCCCCUCCCCUCCCCUCUGGGCAUCGCCUCUGACGGGUCGCGCCCGGCCGGGAGUGCCCCAACCCGCGGGGAGGGAGGUCGCGUUCCGGAUCCCGGGGGAGAGGGGGAAAGCGGGGGGGAGAGCGGCGCGCUCGGAGGGAGCGCUCGCAGGGGGCCGCGGCUCAGCGCCGGCACCGGGGCCGGGACGGAGUGAGGGCCGUGAAGGACACCGCCGGCCCCGGGGCCGUGGAGAGGAGCGGUGCUCCCGACCAGAACCCGCUCCCUCAUUUCCGAGAGGAGACGGAGAGCGAAGAGGGCUUCUAAAGGAGCUGGAAGGGAGAGUUUAGAAAGAGAGCCCAAGAAAACAGAGAAUUAUUUACAGCGUUUUAGCGGGAGGAAAUGGUGUUGGAAAGGCAGCGCGACUGCAACGAAAUUUGGGGGGCGAUGCAUGAACACCGAGAUAGAUUUUCCCGGGUCUCAGCGUGGUUUUUCGCACCGAGCUUUUCCAGCAGCCCCGACCCCUUCUCAGUCCGCGGCCGAGGGGCAGAGCCCCGCACCGCACCGGGAGGGCCGGGAGCGAGGGCAGCGCCCAGCACCGCUCCCACUCUGAGGGACCCCGGGGGGAGCAGCCCCUCCGCCGGCCCUUCGGCCUCAACCUCCGUUAAAUCCGGGAAACCGCUCUCUGGAAUCGAGCGGGCGGGAGCGGGGGUCUCAGGGCCGGGCCCGGAGAUGAAGCAAGAAAUCAUUCACUCCCUCUCCUCCCCGUCGCCUGAAAAUAUUUGUUUGCGGAUGGGAAUGUUUGCAAAGGGGAGAUACGGGGGUGGCGGCAGCGGCGGAGCGCUGCGCAGAUGUGAUGCUCGCGGGGCUGAGCGCAGCCAGCAACGCCGGGUCUGAGGGUCCCGCAGCCACAUCGAGCGCGGAGAGCUCUUUUUUUUCCCCGUUGAUAAUUGAAAACAAUGUUAAAACGAGCGUGGGCUGAGGGCUGCCCGAUAACGGGGGCGCGGGGUGUGCUGCGCUUCAGUACAUCGACCGCCUUCAGAGCGCAGCGGAGCUGCCGAGGCGGUGCCCUCGGAAGCGGCUUUGGGGCGCUUCGAGCCACGAGCGGGGCUGAGGCUGCGAGCGAAGCACGGCAGCGGUCUGUUUUAUGGUCCGCACGGACGGUAUCGCUGCGUAUGGAGAACUAAUUCCUAAUUACGUCCCUACUGCGGCGCCCAUUCGUUGCCCCCUUCGGCUCCCCCCCGCUCUUUUCGGGCUCGGAGAAGCGAAGAGCCGCACGACGUUUACGGUCCGGGUGUUUUUCAAUGGGCUUUGUUUGUGCUUUACGGGACGAAGCUCUCAAUGAGUGUUUAAACAAACACCAUGCCACUCUCCUAAGCCUUCCAGAUGUUUGCAAUAAAAUGUCAGGUUUUGCCUUUGGGACUCGAAAUAAAAUUUAACUGCCUUCACCCUGUAAUUAUUCUCUUAGCUCUCCCUUCAUAAAUUUAUCUGCUUUCUAUCAGGAUAGAAAAAAAAAAUCCGAUUAUAAACUCGGACCGUAAAACAGCCACCGCUUUCCCUCCAUUUUACCGGGACCUCUUCCUCUCUCGUUGCUUUCCUGCCUUCCUGGGCGCGAAGCAGCAAAAUUCCCCGUCCCCCACUAUUGUUCCCGUGCCUCAGCCGGUCUACGGCGCCCCGGCACCGUGUCGGGAGCUGGAGCUGCCCCCGUGCUGUAGGUAACGAUGAUGAACCCUUAGGAGCAAGCGGGUCCCUCUCCCGAACAAAGGCUUGCAGAGACCUCUGACUCUUUGGUCGCUACGUUAGAACAGCAAAGGCAGAGCUGAGAGCCCUACAUCGGGUAUUGACCGUAAUUCAGGACAAUCCGGAGCGCUAAGCGAUAUUUUCCUCCCUUUCUUUCUCGGUUUUUUCGUUUUCUGCCCUAUUUCGUUUUCUUUUCAGCCCCGCGGAGCUUCCGCAGCGUUCAGCUUUUGCUUCCCCAUUGACCCCUCCAUCCCCUCCGCCGGGGUCUCAGUCCUCGCACACACCGGCGGUGGCUGCCGCCCCACUCUUUUAUUGUUAUCAGCGUUUUCCCUCACUCUUUGCUGACGUACCGCCCGCCCCGAGCAGGUGAGCUCUCGGGCGGUGAGAGGCCCGGGGCCGGGCGGGGGCCUCCAGAGACGGCUUCGGAGGAGCCCUUGGAUCGGGA
rnacentral:lncRNA from 1 species